rnacentral:lncRNA from 1 species
GAGAACCAAACCGCUUGAAAAAUUUCGCGAAUCGGCAUUUGGUAUAUUUUAAUUAUACCGACGGAAUACCGACGAACCCGUGUCCGUCGGAAUCGUCUGAUAUAAUAACCCUCCUCCUUCUUCUUUCUUCGUUAUCUCCGCAUCUCUCUCUCUAAAUUCCUCUCUCCACCGGCGAUUCACCGGCGAUUCCUCUCUCUACACCGGCGAUUCAUCCCUCUACACCG